AUGGGUUUCUACAGAGGACAGACGGGGCACAGCCAACAUGAGUACUAUCAGAGCCAGACCUACUCACAAUCUGUGAACCCCUACUCGUACCACCAGUUUAAACCCGAACGGAAUGGGGGGGCCUGGGGGCCUACCCCACAAAGUCAGAAUACACCUACAGUAACUCAUACAAGCAAUACGGACAUUAUAAACAGGGAGCUGCAGGCACCACCCCAGGACACUGGUAAGUCUGAACUUUCCACAAAUAUAAACCCAUGUAGGGCUGGUUUAAGGAAAACUGAAUAUGUUUUGCUGGUGUUGAAAGCUCAUAUUAAAGAUUACAUUAUCAUAGUCUACAUGGGUUUAUAUUUGUGGAAAGUUCAGACUUACCAGUGUCCUGGGGUGGUGCCUGCAGCUCCCUGUUUAUAAUGUCCGUAUUGCUUGUAUGAGUUACUGUAGGUGUAUUCUGACUUUGUGGGGUAGGCCCCCAGGCCCCCCCAUUCCGUUCGGGUUAAACUGGUGGUACGAGUAGGGGUUCACAGAUUGUGAGUAGGUCUGGCUCUGAUAGUACUCAUGUUGGCUGUGCCCCGUCUGUCCUCUGUAGAAACCCAUAUCUGUGGCUGAGAAGUCGGCCAAGGUUGGAGAGUCUUUGGAUGCAGGGUGGCAGCUCAUAGAGUUUGGGAUGUCAGUCAAAAUGCUGGCGAGCUGCUUUUCAAAAGCUGGUCCACUCAUUAUUGGUCGCACAGCAUCUCCUCCUUCCUGAAAGCAGACGGUCCGAGUGUGCAGUAGAUAGAGAAGGGGAAAGAGCAGUAAAGCAGGACCAAAUCCUUCAAAAAACUUCUCUGGUGAAAUUCUCUGUGCAGAACUACAUGCACUGGGGCAGCACCCAGCCGAGUAAAACUCUUCGUUAUCGAACACUGGGUGGAUUCUCUCUUCCUUUCGGCCCAGAAGAAGCCCCCCCCGCCCCCGGUAAAACAGCUCUGUGUCUCCUCCCCUGCUUCAAGCACACAACACACACAGCAGCACACAACACACACCAUCUUGCUGGUGCAAUAAUUUACUGGAAUUAUUGCCUUUCUAUCUAAGGUAAAUUCGUGUUCACCCGUAAGAUGCACAUUUGGUUUGCGUUGAGCAUACAACUGUAAUUGAGCAUAACGCUUUUUGGAAAAGGAGCCAAAGUAUCAUUCUGCCGACACAUUAUUUAUAUUAGUGGGAUGACCUUUACAGUGUGAGUCACCCUGCUACCAUGGCCUUCCUAUGUUGAGUUCAUUGUCUGUGAUUUGAUAUGUCUCCGGAACCUAUUCCCUCGGUCUAAGAGCUCGGAACAGAGUUCCGGUGGUGUUGUUGAACUGUUUUCUCUGAGCAUAUUCGGUGGAACCUGAUGAGUUGGGACUUGAUCAAUCCCUGGAAGGUGUGUUUGGGCUGGAAGCUGGAUUUGUGCGGUAGACAGUGUGUGUCAGUGCUUUUAAAGUAAACCUUGAUCUCGAGUGUUUUUAAAGCCACCUUGAGGUUUACUGUAAUGGACUGUGGUGUCCAGGAAGUUUACUUCCUGUGUGUCUCAGUGUUGUUUUAUUGUUAUUUUGGAGUGGUGUGUGUGUUCAUGAGUGUGUCAAAAUCCUCGUGGCCAUGGUGUCAGACCCUGAAAAUGUCACCCCGAUAUCUGUAGCACUGGAGUGGUCUGUUUGGGCAUUUCAUAAAUAGAGUUUUCUCCCAGUCUGCCAUGUAGAUGCUCGCGUAGACCAAGGGCACACACACACACACAUUUUCAGAACCGCUUGUCCCAUACGGGGUCACGGGGAACCGGAGCCUAACCCGGCAACUCAGGGCGUAAGGCUGGAGGGGGAGGGGACACACCCAGGACGGGACGCCAGUCCGUCGCAAGGCACCCCAAGCGGGACUCGAACCCCAGACCCACCGGAGAGCAGGACUGUGGUCCAACCCACUGCGCCACCGCACCCCCAGACCAAGGGCAAAUUUUUCUUUUUUUUUUUUAAACCCAUUGCUGUCCGCUGUAUCUGUAGACAGACUUGUUUGUUAAAUUCAGAAUUAUUCCUGAUGACACUGAUUUCCAGUAAUUGUAGGAGUUCAGUGUCUGGUCCAUUGUGGUCUGGGUACCUUAGAAUGGUGUUCUUUACUGCUGUCAGGCCCAGGUCUGUUGCAAUGUUCGUGUAUAGGCUGUUGAUAUCACUGGUGAACAGAGAUCCUACACUUCGCAGCUAGCCUGUCUUCCUGUCAUGGCCUCUCCAAGUGGGAAACUCAUUCAUUUUGCCUACUUCCUUAGCUAAGAGUCUGGGAGUGAUGCUUGACUUAAGUCUGUCUGCGCUCCAUUCUGAGCAGCAUGAUGAAAUCUCGCGCCAUUACGUCAAUCAUCCCCUUGUCCAGCGUAUCCGUGCUGUAUACGCUACCUGCCCAUUGGUCACUUAGUAGCGUUCUUAGUUUUAUUUCUUCUGCUUCUGUUAGGAAAAAACGGACUAUAUAUAGGGUUCAGUGCUAUCCACGGUUUCAGGCAUCCAGCGGGGGCCUCGGAACAUAUCUCCUGUGCAUAAGAGGGUGCAACUGUCUCUUUACGCACUAUAUUUAAUUGCACAAUUUUAUAACUUACAGUAAUUUAUUGUACUUUGAAGUAGUCUUUGAAAAUUACUGUGUGGUGUGUUUGUAUUUAUCAUCUUUUUUUGGUUUAUUGUAGUAGAGUUUUCAUUACAUAUGUGGGUGUUUUCUUACCAAUUUAAAAUUGUUUUUUAUUCGGUGUAUUUGGUUAUUUGCAUUGUUUAUAUAUCGUAUCAAAAUGUCUAAAUGGGGGAGAUGAUGUGAAAAGAGAAACAUGCAAAGAAAAUGAUAGGUAAGGUGUACAGCAACACCUUGGGAACAGGCCAGGGAACCGCCUCUCUUGUGCAGUAGAGUUGCCGGACAAGUUUAUUUGUGUCUUUUUGCCAUGGGGUAUGUUUUUUUUUGUGUGUUUUAAAGAUUCCAUCAUGUAAUGUUUACACUGCAGAGACUCAUGGACAUAGUCAGGAAGCAAGGCAAAUGGUCAGACAUCAAGAACAAACAACAGGGAACAGGAUAAAUGCUGUUAGCAUAGCAAAGCCAGAUGUCUCAAGGAGAUGUGUGGCUGAGGAGUGUCUUCUAAAGACAAGUAUGCUGAUUAGCGUCAAGCGUUUAAUCGGAGCCAGGUGCUGCCGAUUGUGGUGCGGGUGGGGAUGUGACAGUUUUAUUGUAGAUGUUUUAGUAGUGGCAUGCCACUUUUUGUUGUUUAUUUAUUGAGUAAAGAUUUUUAAACAGUUUAAGCGAUGGAUGGGGAAAUUUUCUGUGCCGCACUGGGCAGUUUGUUGCACCAGACACUUUUAAUGUUCUGGUAAUCCACUCUGAUCCAUGGGGGGGAUGAAGGUUUCAAAGAUUUGAACCUUGGGGUGCGCUUUUAAUUUGCUUUAAGUGGUUCCAAUGUUCUCAUAAUCACCAGCAGUUUGUGCUGAAAUCCAGCAACUGAAUCCCUUCAUUCUCAUCCAGGGUUGGUUUUUUUUUUUUUUAAUAGCCGUAUUCCAAGAAUGAGGAGUACAGGCUUUUUUCAGCAUGUUAUUAAUUACUGGCAUUGUAAUGACCAUUGGAGGCAAUAUUCUAAAUGACCAUAAAGGGCGCAACUUUGGACAAACCCAGCUCUAUUCGCCACACCUGUAUUCAAUCGAAGUCUUUAACAGAGUGAAGCAGAACAAUAAAAUUCACCUCAGGGGGUGGUUCUUGUCCUUU
ensembl:lncRNA